UGCCUCUGAGGCCAUGAUCAGCCAUCUUGGAUGCUGUCAAUAGAGCCCCUUGCUGGUUUCAUUGAUCGAUUCGGUGUGAGUAGGUCGGUUUUGUUCAGAUGCCUGAUGAGAAAGGAAGAUAGAUGCCUUCAAUGCUGAGUGUUUCCAUCCUCCUUCCCAUCCUCUGUUGAAAGGAGGAAAGGACCAGCCUUGUGCAGGCUACAAGAAAUCUAUGCCAGUGACCCACCCUCAUUACACCUGCCUGAAGUGCCUCAAGAAGGUCGCAUUCAAGACUGCUGCCAGAUUUGCAGGACUUUAAAUCCCAGACAAAAAAGAAUAGAGAGCACAGCAUUGAGGAACCUCUGUUAUGAGGAGAUGACUACAUUGUUCAGCUAUAUUUGAGCGCAGGAUCCAGCACUUCAGAAAAGUAAUUGUUUUACCUCCACCAUUCUCAGAGCUGUGGCAGUGACUUCUGGAAGUGCAGCAGCUCCUGAAGGGGUCCAGAAUGCACAUCAUGUAGACAUUUUCUUCUGUCACAGUAGACACAAACCUUCCAUCCUGGGCUGAUUUGAUGAGAUUGAGUUCUUUUCUCCUCUUCUUGGGAAGCUCUGCCUAAAAGUCUUAGAGGUAGUAAGCUUAGAGGCAUUGGCAGAAUGAAAUAAAUCAUUACCUAUAGGGUCUCCUGGGGCAAGGCACUGUAGCUAUAUCACUGUAAUAUCAUAGUGUUGAUGCUUUCUACAGUGAUAGAAGGUUUUUUUUCCAUCACUGCAGGAACCUCAUCUCCCUGAGCAACAGUAGCUCGGUCAAAGGAAAUCGUCUUUGGUCAACAUAGUUGCAUCUACAGCAGGGAUUAGCUCAUCAUAGCUACAGUACUCAAGGGUGUGGAUUUUUCACAUCCCUGAGUGCUGUAGGCAGUGUCAACCUAACUUUUUUUAAGUAAAGACCAGGCCUAAGAAUCUAGAGGAGGAAGAAACAACUUGGUGGCGAAGACUAUCUGGGGUAGUGCUUCUCCUCAAAGUAGCAAAGCUAAGCUGCAUCCCAUUGCAGCCUGCAAACACCCCAGCUAUAUUUAUAACACAUGAUCUGGUUAACUCAGGCACUGGAACACAUUUGUUUUACCUCUCUUAUGGCAGAGUGAAACAACAGCAUGGAAACACCAGUGCUGAGGUGGCAUGAGGCAUGAUAAUUUUUGAUCUGUGUCCAGUUGUAGAAAUUGUUUGAAAGGUGAGUUUGAACUUUCACAAAGUAUGGACCAAUUAAAUGAUCAGGGAUUAAUAGAAGGGUGAAGCUACCAGUCAAAAGCUGUGAUGAAAGAAUGCAGUCAGUGGCCUUUAUUUAGCAUUGCUAAUUCCAUUCUUCACUGUCUUCUUACGAUGGAGCUGUUCUCUUACCCAUGUACCGUCAUCAGUUCCUGCUCCAUUCUUGUAUCUUGGCUCUCCCAGCUGACUUACAUUCAUCUCCUGUUCCUUUGACACUAUUCCAUUUGGACCUUGAUAGUUAAGUGUAGUUAUUUCCAGGGCCAGUGGUUUGCUAUUGAAAAGGCUUUGUAUACAGAAAGGCAGAAACAGCCUAAAAGAGUGUCUCCAACAGAUAAAUUUUACUCGUAAUUUCAUACACAAAUUUUGAAGGGGUGGGGGCGAUUCUAUGUGGUCAGCCAGGAGAACAGGCUCAGGGACUCUCUAACAGGAAGUUAAGGAACUAGUGUGAGGUCUUAGGUGAAUUGAGGAGAACCUGCAGAAACGGCAUCCACCAGAAAAGCCAUCUGGGAAUAUGUAGUAUAAUUUUUCCCCUGCCUUCAAGAGAGUGGUGCUGUGAAUAAGGUCAAUAGUGUGUCCUUCUGGGAGAGGCUGGGACUAGAGUAUUACUAUUUAUUUAUUAUCAUUAUCAUUAUCUAUGAAUUCCUGCAGCACCUAGGAACCCCAGUCAUGGACCAGAACCCCAUGGUAGUGCUGUAGGUGUUCUACAAACACAACAAAAAAUGGCAGGUUUGAGCUUCCGCACAUAGAGAUCCUAAAUCAUUCCUGCCCAUGAUGGGAUAGGAUUGGAGUAGAUGUGAGCUCCCACACAAUUGGUGCUCCUGCACAAUUUUUUAUAGUACCAUGAGCUAGGAGAGGGUAGGCCAGUAGUACCUGUGAGCUCCCAAACAGGGACUGAUUCUAUAGUAUCCGUAGUUAGGAGUGAUUGGACGAGAAGAUUUUAUGGCGAUGACAGUAGGUGGGUAUUUUUUUUUUCUUUUAAAAAUGUUAAUAACAAAAUUGUAGGUUAUACUUCAUCUGUGCUUCAAUUACAAGAUUAAUUCUAUGCAUCUGUCAUUCCUUCAUUAACUGAAAUAUUGCAGCAUACGCAUGCAUACCCUCUGUAAGAGAGUUCUUCUUGAAAUAAGAUUGCGCUCAAUGCAAGAGUUAUGUCCUGAGUGUUCCACAUGCAAAUUGAAGCAGCAAGUCUUGUGAGAAGGGGGAUAGAGGAAGAUGAUGAAGAGCACUGCUCUGCUGUGAUCUCCACUAUAGGAGUUAAACCACAGCUUCCCAGGCUCUGCUGCGUCUGCAUGAGAUAUGCAUACCACACCCGUCUCGCUGCACACCAGCCAUCCCCUCCUGAAGACACCCAUGGGGAAGCAGAAAAGUGAUGUCUGAAACCAUUAGACAGAGUCUGGUCCCAGGGUGGGCCAGGAUAGGAUUACAAGAGCCACU